GACGUUAAGAGAUCAUUGGUGCCUGUUGAAUCUACAACAGAGCGGCCGACGCUUGAUUCUGUGGAAAACAUUAAGAAAUUAUUGGUGCCUGCUGAGCCAAAAAAAAUAAUCCUAGCUUAAUGCUAGGGAGGUUUAUCUUUAUGGACAUCAUUAUCACGACUUAAAAGGUGAAUGCAUAUUAAAGCGGAAAAACUGGAGAUGGUGAAGGAUG
rnacentral:lncRNA from 1 species